GAGGUGGGAUUUAUACAGCGGGAAAGAAUGUCAGUUCAGAAAAGGGAAGCUUGCUGCAUAGCCACGUUCACUUGGACACAGGCUCUCCUUCCCUUCCGGGCUACAGCUGCCCCCGUGGUAGCAGGCAGCAGGUGUGUGCCAUAGCUCAGCAGUUUUGUGCAACCUGUGUGUAGAAAAUUCCUCUGCUAAUUGAAAGCUAGAGGAAAAAAUUAUGCAGAAUAUAACCAUCAGAGUUGAUGUUUGAUCUGAACAAUUAACAGUGGCCACUACCAAAUAAGUACGCUAAGUCCUGCUGUUUCCCCAUCUCAUACAAGAGACAGCAUCCUCCUCCUCCUCAACAUCUGCCUGGAAGCAUGGACUCAGUAUUGACUCCAUAGGAAGACCAUUUCUCCCUGUUGAACUACUCGGACUCUUUCCUGCACUUUCCUUGUAGUUUUUUGCAAGUGUUGAUCUAAACUGCUUCUGUUACUUUGAAGAGACCAAAUGCCAUCGGACUGAGGGAAGAAAAGGGUGACAGGGCCACAAGGAUAAUAUGCUGGAUGUACCGUGCUGUGAGUGGUGUCUGCACUGCGGAGGUACGGACAUGGGCCCGAACAGAAGUUUGCAAAGUAGCCUUUAGGCUCAUGGACCCAUUUCCAGCCCAGGUCCUGUCGGAAGUCAAUGUAAAGAGGACGCACACAGCAGUUCUCCUCCAGGUUCCUGAAACACAGAAUGGACAUGAAAUGAAUCUAAAGAGGGAUCUUUUAUGUGCUUGCAUGAAGCAGCUUCCAGAGCAAAAGGACCAGGACCAGUAUUGCCCAGUGGAAUGUGGUAUUCACCUGCACUGGGUGCAGAGGAGUGGCAGAGCUUGGCAGAAGCCGGCAGGCCAGCUGGCACUGCAUGCACGUGCUGCCAGGCUGUUCAGCCACUGGCCUGGUCCCUGCCCAGGCUGUGCUGCGUAAGGCUGAUGGCAAGCCUCCCGCUAGCCAGAAGCUCAGCCAGAAGUGACUGCUGGGCCAGCCAGCAUCCCCUUCUUGGAGGCUGCAAGGAGCACCAGCUGAGCUGUGCUGCUCACGUGGCUCCUGCAGUACCACGGUGACUUGCAGCCCCCUUGGCAGGCACUGCCUUCCCUGGUGAUGUGAAGUCUCACCGCACUUUCCCACCUCAGGCAUGGGACCCGGCCACUGGCAGGAUUCUCACUUACCGGAAGCAGUAGUUGGUAUCCAGGGCCCGCUUCUUUCUCUGGCCUCCCAGUGUUGGGCUCUCCAGGCGAUGUGGGGGUAGCAUCAUCAAGAUGAGGUGGGGAUUAUGCAAGUCUUUCUGCUUCUUCAGGCGCCCCAAGUCCCCACGGCCAUAGUCAUUUUCACUGUCAAUGCCUUCACAUGGAAACAGGAUCCACAAAGAGGACAUCAAUAUGGAAGUGAGGGACGCAACAAGACUUUUCAGUACGCUUAACACCCUCUACCUGCCCUGAACUAGGGCAAAAGAGACUCAGGCACCACGUGUGCUCACUCUGGGACUUCUUCCCUCCUAGGGAACUCUUUACUACUGGUGAAUCUGACUGCUGCAGGCCUGAAAUAGAGGCCUGUGGGCCACCUGUUUUACCAUUUGCAAACUGCUGGUGGGGCCAUUAAUCCAUCCCACUCGCUCCUGGCUUCAGUCCCAGGACAGGCAAGAAGAUGAAUGGUUUAAAGAAGAUGUCAGAUCAUUGGCACUCUGCAGAACAGCCUCAGAAAUUGAGCCUGUGGGGGCCAGUGGCUGCAGCCCAGGGCUGCGAGCCAGGAGGUUCCUACAUCUUAGGCCAGCCAAGCCACUGACUCUCUAGGCCACCUCACACAGGAUGCCUGACUUCCUUGUGUUUCAGUCACCCUAACUGGAAAGCGGAGCCUCUGUGGAAAUCUGAGAAUCCAUCAAGCUGAGCUUCCCGGAGAGACACUGAAAUAUGAAAUUAUUCCUUUUGCAGAAAUGCACGCAAGCCCCACCCAGACUGCACUUUUCUCUCACUUCUAACCUAGGUAUGAAGUGGGUGUACUCGUAAGAUCAACAUGCAAACCCAGCGGUGUUGUAUACUUUAAGCCAAAUGUUAUGAGGGGUAAAAUCAUCAAAUAUGCAAAGGAAGACCUAUUUGUUUUUCCAGACACUCCUGGCUUUCCCUCCAAUAGCUUCCCCAAACCCAGCUCCUUAUCACCUUUGAAUUUGAUCUCCAAGACCUCAUGUAAGUUCUCCAAGAUGUCCCCAUUGGGCUGAAAAGUAUGGCAAGGGCAGUGUAUGCUGAUUUCCAGGCCGAGGUUGGACUCUGCAAAAAAGGAGAGGUCUCUGAAAAACAGUAUUCCUCAGCUGGAACAGCGAAAUCUCCACAGAGGGCAUGUGCUGUGCUGUGGCCCCCAGACUAGGGAUCAGUCUCACAGUGAAGGGUGCUCACUUUGGGAAACAGGAGCUGACUUAGAAAGGAGAAUAGGAAGCAGAAUCUUGUUGGCUUUGAUUGUGCCAAAAGCCGUGCAUGCUCUUGCUAAAGGAACCUUAGUGAGGAGGUGAGAAAAGUUACAUUUUUAGGCUAUUUAGCAUCCAAAAGCACUUGUGAGCUUUGAGGAGUUCCACUAGAAAGUAACUAUUUUGCAAAGUUGGUCUGUGAUGUGUAUCUGUACUGAAUCAAAUUUGCCACCCUCCGUACCUGUCUACUAUCUGGCUUCUGGUUAGUGUCUGGAGGAGAGAUCUGAAAGUGAGUGAGUUGGAUAUGGACAAGUAAUUUCACUGGAAGCAUUUUUCUCAGCAGCUGCAGCCUCCUGUUUUGUUGAACUGCUAGUGGUCUCACUCGCAGACUUUCCAGAGGCAAGUCUAUUUUCAUAAUAACUUCCUGGACCCAUCACGCUGUGUGGGCCUGACCCACGGAACAUACGGCUCUUAUGAAAGCUGCUUUUCUAUGUUGUGUCAUGAAUUAAAACAUCUGGCUCCCUGGGGCACUGACAAGGUGCCUAGCACCUCUCUUCCUAAGCACCAUAUCUGAUGUCUGUCAGCUAGCGUGUGCCUGCCCAGAGCUCACCGCAGUUCCAGCGCUGAACUCCAGCCAUCAGGACACAACUGGGAUUGCUUCAAAAAGGAGGAGCCUACGGGCUCACAGCUUACCCUUCCAGGGAGCGGCUGCCUGCCAGUGCCUGCAUUCCAGUUUUCAGUGGCACCUAGCUUCUAUCUGUGAGGCCAACGCAGCGGUGAGUCACAGUGCCUAUGCUCCAGCUGUGAAUGGGGUCAGUGUUCUUGCAGGGAGCUGCCCCGUAACUAUCUGUUGGGCUGCCCAGCGGUGGCAGAGGUAUGUUCUGUCUAGGUGUGUCAGCCUCUGGAAUUUCCUCACCUUUAUACCUGCCAAGCUGUAAACAGCUAAAGAAAUCAAGAUCCUUGCUGUUUUUUCCUAAUAGAUUUUCUCUGUCCCAUAAGAAAAUUAAACCAGAGCAAUCCUCAUUUUCUGUGUGUUACGAGUGAUAGAUUAGACCAGCAGAAAGAUUCCCCUGGGCUUGGAAUCCAAGAACCAAAAGAAGUUCCAGCGUCUCUCACUGAGAACAAUUUCCUCCUCCAGAGAAUGAGAUCUUAUUCUGACUCAGCCCCCAGAGUUAUGCAGUGGGGACUCCAGGACAGAGCUAGGAAGGGAGCAAAUGUUACACACUGAGGCAGCUCUCUGGGGUAAGGCUUGUUCUCAACCUAAAUGAAGCUGCCCCCUGUUUAAGCGGUGCUCCUGAGAAGAUACUCCUGACAACACCGAUCCAUGUUUCUAUGGAUGCUAUCACACCCGGUCCAGCUGUGACCCCUACCUCUGUGCAGAAGCCACUCACGCACGGUGUCGGUGACAUCGAAGGACAGCCACUCAGGGGAGCCCCGCGUCUGCACAUUCCUGCCACUGAGGUAGCGCUGCUUUGCUAUAUGCUCAUCUGGCCGCAGGAUCUGCGAUAGAAGGAGCGGUAGAGAGUGAGCCAGUGCUGUGCACAAGGACGGAACAGCCCUGUGGUGGAUGCCCCAUCCCUGGAGACAGUCCUUCUUCCACAGCUUGCUACAAACGAAUUUGAAAGGUCCCUCGAGUCCUACAGAGUGGUAUUUUCAUGUAUCUUCCACACUUCAACAUCAAUCAAAGCACACCAGGGUGCAUCAAGUUUGGAGAGCUCACCCCCUGCUCUGACAUCCCAUUUCCAGACAGACACCAACAGCCUGUGCAAAGUGCUCCUUGCUGCAGGACCCCGGGUUCACCCCGCACAACACAGAGCCUGUGGAGAAGCUCUGGGAUUGUCUGUUAGCAAUUGUUAUCUUCUGUUAGCUGGAGAACUGCUCUGCCUUUUAAAGAUGAAUUCCAAGCAGACCUUAAGAGCUAACAGCUAAAGGGCAAUUUUAGCUGCAUUGUUACUGCACAGCAGACAGACAGCAGCCUGUGGGAAUACGCUGCCUGGAUGCUGAACUGCACCAUUAGCUGUGUUAUCCAGCAUGGCCAGAAACCGCUUCCAAACCUGAACCAGACCUUAUCUUGCCUGCGGACGCCAAGAGUUCCAACCAAACUCCAGAUGAGCACCUGCGCUAAAGGUGCCAGGAACUGCCCCCACAGAACUGCUGAUGAAAGGAACACUGAAAGCAAACAUUUCUUUUCCAAUAAGUCUGUGAAAGUCAGAGAGCUCCACCCAUUGGAUUAGCACCAACUGUACUGUACUGCGACAGUCAGAGGAACAACUCUGCCAAGGGACUUAAGCAGAAGGGUCAGGGCUUCUCUGCUGGUGGAGGGAUCCUCUUCCAACCCUUUCUCAGUAGAGAAAAGAGCUGCAUAAUUCACAAUACUCAUGACAGCUGGGCAGUGUGAGUGGGGAAAAGGACAGCACCACACUGAAACAGGAAAAAAAUGUGUCUGUAUCACUGCUUACAUGCUGGAAGAAGCCUGGAGCAAAGUAUGGGAUCUCCUCCCUCUCACCUGUGGCCUUGCACCCAAAGCUGGGGCAGGCACUAGGGAGCCAAGCUGUUCUGGCCUGAGGCAGAGGAAGGCGAGGAUACUCACCUGGAAGAGCUCGAUGCGCUGCUCGCUGCGCUUGGAGCUCGGGUUGGGCACACGUAGCACCCGGAACUCUGCUCGAAACAGGUUGGUGCUGUUCUUCUCUGCGGAGGACACGUUAAAGCGGAACACAUUGGAGGUGACACCUUUUGGGCAAAUGCCCAACUCAUCUAGGAGAAAAAAAGAGGGAACGGCUAAGAAUUUCAGGCCAGAGGUGACUGAGAAAGAGCUUUCAGCUAAACAUCUCACCACCUUCAAGUUUGGUUGUCUGGCUAACGAGACAGCAGGAGGAAUUAACUCUAAUUUGCUCUACACUGGAAUGUUUUGAAAAUCUUCUCACUACUGUCGCCAUUAUUUCAAUGCUACAAGCCAGAGAAUCGGUGGAGAUCAAUCACAGUAUCCUUAAUUCUGUCUCUUCCAACUCGUCAAACGUUGAUAAUGCUUGUAAGUUUCCUGCAUUUGCUAAGGCAACCGCAACCAAUACAAGGGGACAACCUCCUUUGCUCCUUGUGGGGCCCAUUCCCAAUAACUAUGAUGGUGUAACUCUGUGCUCACGUUGAAAAUUGAAGCCACACAGAAAGUGAUCUUAUAACAGGAGACAAUGUCAAGGUCUGUAAUGAAAGCCAGAGAAGUGUCCACGAAGUUUGGUGAGGCACUAGAACAGAUUGCCCAGAGAUGUGGUGGAUGCCCCAUCCCCGGAGACAGUCAAGAUCAGGCUGGAUGGGCCUCUGAGCAAAGUGAUUGAGCUGCAGGUGCCCCUGCUCACUGCAGGGAGUUGGGCUAGAUGGCCUUUAAGGGUCCCUUCCACAUCCAAUGAUUCUGUGGUAAGUUUGAGGUGCAGGAGACAUCUCAGGAGCAGCGACUCUCCAGGGCGUACUAAAGGAACUGGGUUUUAAGGUCAGUUCUCACUUGUGACCUGGAGGAGGAAUUCAUGGAUAGUACUUGGUACAGAGUUCUUUGGGGACAGAGGCUGCUGUGAGGCCUGCAGAGAUCAGACACAUGAGCAGGAAAUAGCACAGCAAGGCUCUGCCUGGAUGCGUGCCUACUGAGCAGAAAAAUCCACUUUACAGGUGCCCAAAAAGAGUGCGGGUAAAAACCACAACGUUUCCUCAAGAGAAAAUGAACAUCUCUUCAUUGGGACCAUUUUGGUCCCAUGGAAAAAGCAGUGAUUCCUGCUGCUCCUCUCCUGUUGACCUCUCUUAGCCUUCAAGGCUGUAGCAUCAUUCAGGCUUUAAGGCUUCCUGCAGGAAGGCACAGCAGCUCCUGCUCUACACCCACGUGCAGAUCUGUUUGCAGUCCUGCAGAGCCUCUCAUAUGACCUCUGGCUGUUCUCCAAGGCAACACGAGGCUCUCGUGUCAGCUGAUAUUUGUGUUUUUUUAAAUUAAAAACAAAACAAUAAAACCA